rnacentral:rRNA from 1 species
UAGGGAAUUUUUCACAAUGAGCGAAAGCUUGAUGGAGCAAUGCCGCGUGAACGAUGAAGGUCUUUAAGAUUGUAAAGUUCUUUUAUUUGGGAAGAAUGACUUUAGCAGGUAAUGACUAGAGUUUGACUGUACCAUUUUGAAUAAGUGACGACUAACUAUGUGCCAGCAGUCGCGGUAAUACAUAGGUCGCAAGCGUUAUCCGGAUUUAUUGGGCGUAAAGCAAGCGCAGGCGGAUUGAAAAGUCUGGUGUUAAAGGCAGCUGCUUAACAGUUGUAUGCAUUGGAAACUAUUAAUCUAGAGUGUGGUAGGGAGUUUUGGAAUUUCAUGUGGAGCGGUGAAAUGCGUAGAUAUAUGAAGGAACACCAGUGGCGAAGGCGAAAACUUAGGCCAUUACUGACGCUUAGGCUUGAAAGUGUGGGGAGCAAAUAGGAUUAGAUACCCUAGUAGUCCACACCGUAAACGAUAGAUACUAGCUGUCGGGGCGAUCCCCUCGGUAGUGAAGUUAACACAUUAAGUAUCUCGCCUGGGUAGUACAUUCGCAAGAAUG